rnacentral:lncRNA from 1 species
AAAAGUGGUAACUAAUUUUAUUAAGCUACCUAGUACUCUUAUAAAAGAAGACUUCAACAAACACUGCUAAUUUAGCACACCAGUGAAACAUAACAAACACAAUAGAUAAAUACAAAACAGAUUACACAUCUCUUUUGAUUAAGUGAUAAUUUUAAACAAGCAUUUUUUCAAUGCUGUUUUCCUUAUAUUAACAUUAAAAUUAAUUCAUCCCUUUAUGAACAUACCAAAUAGAAGACAAAGAGUUAUUCAUAAAGAUGCUGAGCAAUAAAGGAGAGGAAAAAAAAAAAGUAUACCAUAAGUCAUCAUGCUAAUUCACCAUACAUAAAAAAGCAAGUGAGUAAGUUAAUUUGAUUAUUGUUUUUGGAGAAAAACCUUAUAAAUGUGAUAACAGCACUGAGGAAUAUCACAGAUGGCUGUUUUCAAAUAAAAACAAAUUAUUAACAUUAAUAUACUUUUUAAUGUGCAAUUAUAAUCUAUUAUACACAUGGAAAGUAAAUUAUAAGUACAUGAAAUACAAGUCAACUUAUUAAAAAUAAAGGUAACCUGAGUGUUCAGAUUUGCAGAGGGAUUAUCAUUAGACUAUAUGAGCCAUGUAUAUUAAAUACUU